AUGCGCGGCCUCAACGACCUUCGUCUCUACAAUAACAACCUCGUCGGCAACAUCCCACACCAGCUCUGCAGGCUCAUCUCCAUCACGGUACUAGAUUUGUCGAACAACAGGCUCACCGGGGACCUCCCAGACUGCUGGUGCAACUUCCAGGUUCUGUUAUUCAUGGACCUAUCCAACAACCGGCUCACCGGGAAGCUCCCAGACUGCUGGUGGAGCCUAGAGGCUCUGCUGUUCAUGGAUCUAUCCAACAAUUACUUUUCAAGUAAAAUCCCGGCACCUGUGGCAAACCACAACUGCUCUCUUAGGUCUCUUUACCUCGCCGGAAAUGGCUUCGGUGGUGCCUUCCCGCCGGUUCUAGAGGGUUGCAACUCGCUAUCCACCCUGGACAUCGGGAACAACAUGUUCUUUGGUGUUAUCCCUCCAUGGAUUGGGAGUCAGAUCCCAUUAUUGAGAAUCCUUAGCCUCAGAUCAAACAAUUUUACUGGAGAAAUUCCUCCGGAAUUAUCACGGCUUUCGCAACUUCAGCUGCUUGACAUGGCAAACAAUAGCUUGACUGGCUCCAUUCCGGUAUCCUUCGACAACUUGACUUCCAUGAAGCAUCCACGAGAUCCAUCGACUACGGGACUGCUCAGCGACUGGAAGUACAAUGAUAGAAUCGACAUAAUAUGGAAGGACAAGGUGCAGAAAUUCCGAAGAGCGAUCCGGUUAUUAGCCGGCAUUGAUUUAUCAGACAAUUUGCUAUCACAAUGCAUCCCCGAAGAGUUAACCAACCUUCAAGGCCUUCGGUUCCUAAACCUUUCAAGAAACCAUAUGUCGUGCCGCAUUCCGCAAGGCAUUGGUAGCCUCUCUUUUCUUGAGAUCCUUGAUCUAUCAUCUAAUCAACUUUUUGGAAACAUUCCUCAAAGCAUCACACGAUUAUCAGGGCUCAACACGUUAAAUGUCUCGAACAAUCUUUUGUCGGGCAAGAUACCCACCGGGAAUCAGAUUCAGACCCUGACUGACCCAUCAAUUUACUCCAACAAUUCUGGGCUCUGUGGAUUUCCUCUAAACAUUUCAUGUACGAAUACUUCGAUUGCACCGGAUGAGAGAAAUGGUGAAGAGGAGGACCACUGGAUGUACUAUUGUGUGAUUGCUGGGAUUGUGUCUGGUCUCUGGUUGUGGUUUGGGAUGCUCUUUACAAUUAAGUCCUGGAGAUCUGGUUUUCUUUCCUUUGUUGAUGGCAUGCAAUGUAAAAUUAUGAAAAAGUUGUGA
rnacentral:rRNA from 1 species